GAAAUGCGAUAAGUAAUGUGAAUUGCAGAAUUCAAUGAAUCAUCGAAUCUUUGAACGCACAUUGCGCCCUUUGGCAUUCCGAAGGGCAUGCCUGUUCGAGCGUCAUUACACCAAUCAAGCCUGGCUUGGUAUUGGGAGACGGGGUCGGUCGAACCACCCCCCGCCCCAAAGACCUUUCCGGCGGCACGGACCGAAUCUCAGCGUUGUGCAAACGUGUCGCUGGCGAGACGGGACGGCCGUGCCGUUAAACCCCAUUUUCUUCAAGGUUGACCUCGGAUCAGGUAGGGAUACCCGCUGAACUUAAGC
rnacentral:misc_RNA from 1 species